rnacentral:rRNA from 1 species
UACGAAGGGGGCUAGCGUUGCUCGGAAUCACUGGGCGUAAAGGGCGCGUAGGCGGACUUUUAAGUCAGGGGUGAAAUCCUGAGGCUCAACCUCAGAACUGCCUUUGAUACUGAGGGUCUCGAGACCGGUAGAGGUAAGUGGAACUGCGAGUGUAGAGGUGAAAUUCGUAGAUAUUCGCAAGAACACCAGUGGCGAAGGCGGCUUACUGGACCGGUUUCUGGACGCUGAGGCGGCGAAAAGCGUGGGGAGCAACAGG